ACAAAUAAAAAAGUUAUUUAACAUAAUUAAUUUUUUAUUACUUAUUUAGGAAAAUAUGCCAUAACAUCCAAUUUAGCUGAAAUCUUACAAACCUUCUUACCUGAUGAUAUUAAAGAAGGUCAUAAUUAUUUUUUUAAAUACCGUGGCUCAUUAACAGCACCACCGUGUUUGGAGACCGUAGAUUGGUUUGUAUUGCCAAACUGCUGUAAACUUAAAGUUCCAACUGAAUUUUUAUUCACCUUACGGCAACUUCGCUCGAAUUUGAAUAACGCAAACAUGGAGCUUUGUGAUAACUUUAGACCAAUCCAGGAACGAACUAAUGAGGAAGUUUUUUGGUAAAAUUAUAUUAUGAAAGUUAUAAUGUAAAUAAAGGUACUUACAGUAAACUUAGAGUUGUAAAAUUUUGUUAAAAUUUUGUAACUGCAUAUGUUCAGUAAUAAAUUACUGUGUUCUGCA